AUUGAACGCUGGCGGCAUGCUUUACACAUGCAAGUCGAACGGUAACAGGGAGCUUGCUCCGCUGACGAGUGGCGAACGGGUGAGUAAUGCGUCGGAACGUGCCGAGUAGUGGGGGAUAACGCAUCGAAAGGUGUGCUAAUACCGCAUACGUACUGAGGUAGAAAGUGGGGGACCUUCGGGCCUCACGCUAUUCGAGCGGCCGGAGUCUGAUUAGCUAGUUGGUGAGGUAAAGGCUCACCAAGGCGACGAUCAGUAGCGGGUCUGAGAGGAUGAUCCGCCACACUGGGACUGAGACACGGCCCAGACUCCUACGGGAGGCAGCAGUGGGGAAUUUUGGACAAUGGGCGCAAGCCUGAUCCAGCCAUGCCGCGUGUCUGAAGAAGGCCUUCGGGUUGUAAAGGACUUUUGUCCGGGAGCAAAUGCCUGGUGUUAAUAGCACUGGGAGCUGAGAGUACCGGAAGAAUAAGCACCGGCUAACUACGUGCCAGCCGCCGCCGUAAUAC
rnacentral:rRNA from 1 species